GAGGCCCAGCGGCCCGAGACCAACUGGGCUGACCGAGGCCGCCUCCCCGCCAGCCCUGGGGUCCACUGCCCGGGGAGCAGCUCCCUUCCCAGGUCAGACUCGGGCUUCAUCCUCUCUUGCCGCGCGCCGAGCGGUUUUCAACUCUCACUGCUAGAAUUCCUCCAACCACCCAGGAUAGCAGGACCGAGAUACAUGGCCACCCAUGACCCGGAGCGUCCACUUCCAGGGACAGGCAGUGGUGAUUGGCUUCGGUUGUCAUCUGUGCCAUCUGUCCAUGGUUCGAGAAGCUGCUGUUCACGUUUUGGGGAGGAUCAUGGUUUGAGGGCUCCCGUGGUAGAAUUUGGGGAGCUCUCAUAGGCAGAAGGCUGAGAAAAGUUGGUGCUGUGGGAAGUCAACUGGCAGCCGAUGGAGUCGGGACCCGGGAGGAAUGGAAAGGGAACCCAGAUAGGAAGCUACUGCAGUAGGCUCAGAGAGGUGAUGACGGCAGGGCUAAGACAGCGGCCUUGGGCGGUGACUGGGAAGAACGUUGAACACCGUGUUUGGGCUGAAGAAAAGAGCAAGGGAAGAGGCAAGCAUGCCCUCUUGCCCGUCCACCUUCCACCAUGGGAUGAUGCAGCAAGAAGGCCCUCACCAGAUGUGGGCCCCUUGACCUUGGACUUCCCAGCGUUGAGAACUAUUAGCUGUCUUCUUACAUUUCUGGGGAUGAAUCUACAAUCUACCUAAUUGGAUUUUAAAAAUAAAGGACUCGGCCAGGUGCGGUGGCUCAUGCCUGUAAUCCCAGCACUUCGGAAGGCCAAGGCAGGCGGAUCAUGAGAUCAGGAGUUCAAGACCAGCAUGGCCAAUAAGGUGAAACCCUGUCUCUACUAAAAAUACAAACAUUAGCUCGGCAUGGUGGCGUGUGCCUGUAGUCCCAGCUACUCGGGAGGCUGAGGCAGGAGAAUCACUUGAACCUGGGAGGUGGAGGUGACAGUGAGCCGAGAUUACACCACUGCAUUACAGCCUGGGUAACAGGGUGAGACUCUGUCUCAAAAAUAAAGUAAAAUAAAAUAAUAAAGGACCCUCUGAAACUUAAAAAAAAAA
ensembl:lncRNA LINC02175 long intergenic non-protein coding RNA 2175